rnacentral:rRNA from 1 species
UACAGAGGGUGCGAGCGUUAAUCGGAAUUACUGGGCGUAAAGCGUGCGUAGACGGUAGCGUAAGUCAGAUGUGAAAGCCCCGGGCUCAACCUGGGAACUGCAUUUGAGACUGCUCUGCUCGGGUGCGGAAGAGGGAAGCGGAAUUUCCGGUGUAGCGGUGAAAUGCGUAGAUAUCGUCUGGAACGCCGAAGGUGAAAACAGCUCGCUGGGGCUGCGCUGACGCUGAGACACGAAAGCCAGGGGAGCGAACGGG